GUAGGUGGCAAGCGUUGUCCGGAAUUAUUGGGCGUAAAGCGCGCGCAGGCGGUCCUUUAAGUCUGAUGUGAAAGCCCACGGGCUCAACCGUGGAGGGUCAUUGGAAACUGGGGGACUUGAGUACAGAAGAGGAAAGCGGAAUUCCACGUGUAGCGGUGAAAUGCGUAGAGAUGUGGAGGAACACCAGUGGCGAAGGCGGCUUUCUGGUCUGUAACUGACGCUGAGGCGCGAAAGCGUGGGGAGCAAACAGGAUUAGAUACCCUGGUAGUCCACGCCGUAAACAAUGAGUGCUAAGUGUUAGGGGGUUUCCGCCCCUUAGUGCUGCAGCUAACGCAUUAAGCACUCCGCCUGGGGAGUACGGCCGCAAAGGCUG
rnacentral:rRNA from 1 species